rnacentral:rRNA from 1 species
UACGAAGGAUGCAAGCGUUAUCCGGACUCAUUGGGUUUAAAGGGAGCGUAGGUGGCCUUAUAAGUCAGUGGUGAAAUCUCUCGGCUUAACCGAGAAAUUGCCAUUGAUACUGUAGGGCUUGAGUAUAGUUGCCGUUGGCGGAAUAUGACAUGUAGUGGUGAAAUACAUAGAGAUGUCAUAGAACACCGAUUGCGAAGGCAGCUGACGAAACUAUAACUGACACUGAGGCUCGAAGUGCGGGGAUCAAACAGG